UUGAACGCUGGCGGAAUGCUUUACACAUGCAAGUCGAGCGGCAGCGCGGGGGCAACCUUGGCGGCGAGCGGCGAACGGGUGAGUAACAUAUCGGAACGUACCCAGACGUGGGGGACAACUAGUCGAAAGACUAGCUAAUACCGCAUACGUCCUGAGGGAGAAAGCGGGGGAUCGCAAGACCUCGCGCGUUUGGAGCGGCCGAUAUCUGAUUAGCUAGUUGGUGGGGUAAAGGCCUACCAAGGCGACGAUCAGUAGCGGGUCUGAGAGGAUGAUCCGCCACACUGGAACUGAGACACGGUCCAGACUCCUACGGGAGGCAGCAGUGGGGAAUUUUGGACAAUGGGGGCAACCCUGAUCCAGCCAUUCCGCGUGAGUGAAGAAGGCCUUCGGGUUGUAAAGCUCUUUCAGCUGGAACGAAACGGUAGUCUCUAACAUAGGCUGCUAAUGACGGUACCAGCAGAAGAAGCACCGGCUAACUACGU
rnacentral:rRNA from 1 species